GCAAUUCCUCCAAUUGGCCACAAUAUGUCACUGUUUCUCUUGUUGUUCCUCGAACUCUCAUAAUAUCACAUUAUUUUUAGGGCUAAAUAGGUUUUAAAAGAACCGUUUUCACUAAGUGUUGAGAUUUUUUUUAUAAAUUGUUUCCCGUGAUUUGUAUCUCUAUAGGAAGGAAAAAUGUGAUUCUGAACAAGUUAAAGCAGGUUUUUUGUUAGGGAUGUGUGCAUGCAACAUAUUUUAAGGGGAUUUUAAGUAAUCUGGGAGCGAGAAGUGAAAAUCAAAGAGCAGAAGUGAGUUUCAUCAGGCAGAGACUGAGGUGAAACAGAUCAGACCGACAAAGAAACCAGCAUUUUUUUUUUUUCUAAACGUGACGUUUUAUGGAAAAGCGGCGCCAUAAUUAGUAGUAAAGAGAAAGAAUCCUGGACUCAGAAUAAGAAAAGGAAGCUUUUAUUAGAACUGAAGACAGAAACAGGUUGUUAAAUUUCAAAAAUAGCUAUUAUACUUACUUUAUUGUAUUUUUUAAUUUGUUUUAGGUAUUUGUGGAACAGGGGAAUGGCGUCAUUUAUGGAUCUAAUGUCACCAGUUGAUUCAUAGUCACUCCUGAGCUUUAUUUAAUCUGAUUUUAUUUUGAAAAAUCUGCCUGUUUGAGCAUUAUGUACAUGCUGCAAAUAUUUAAAUGUAGAUGUUUUAGAUUUCAGAUUUAAAGUUUUUUACUGCUUCUGAGUGAAAUUUUCCCUGUUUUUUACAUUUAAAUGUCUGAAAUGCUUGGGAGUAGGAAUGCGGUCUUGUUGCUGACUCGUCUGCGCUGUAGGUAUUCGAAGAAUGCAGCUGUCUGUCAGAGACGCAUCGCUUCGUCCCAUUGUUGUGCACGAGACCCAUGAGCGCGUCUUAAGGGCAAGUCUGUGACAACAUCGACGAUCACCUUGUUUUUGACCAGGCCGCACUGCUCCAGCGCCGUCUCCACCCGCCGUUUAUCCGAGAACAUCUUCAGAAGGCUGGAAGACAGAGAGUUAGGUUUGACUGGGCCGAGCCGAAACCUUGAAAAUGUUGGGACAUUUUCUGCUCACUUCUUUAUGGGAAUCUUUCCCUCCUGAUUCAACUGCAGCUUCAGCUUGGAGUACCUGAAACCAACAGACAGGAAGUUGCCAAAAAGUUUGGAAAUACGCAUCUGAUGGUCGCUGAGGAGAUUUACGCUUUGAGGAGGUAGCUGUUUCUCGUUGCAUUCUGGGAAAGGAUGUUUGUGGCCAAACUGAAGAGUUCCUCUGUCCAAAGCUGAAGCAAAAA